rnacentral:miRNA from 1 species
UGGAAUUUGGUCUUUUCCGGC